rnacentral:lncRNA from 1 species
AGGGAUAUAAAUACACCGUAGUCUAGGCUAUAGAGUUAAAAGAAUUGCAUACCAAAUUUAAAUAUAUUAUUACGAUAUUGGACAUGUAAUGGAUUCUGAUAUUAUCUAUUAAUUUUUUAUGUUGAUAUUAUGGAAUAGUUGGCAUGUGACUUUGAUAUGGGCACUAUCGAUUAUAUGUUUAUAAUACUAGAAACGUAUGUAUCAUAUCUUGUAUGAUUUAAUUGAAGUA